rnacentral:rRNA from 1 species
GCUAGCGGGAGGCUUAAUACAUGCAAGUCGAGGGGCAGCACGAAUAGCAAUAUUUGGUGGCGACCGGCGGACGGGUGAGUAACGCGUACCCAACCUACCUUAUACAGGAGCAUAGCCCCGGGAAACUGGGAGUAAUACUCCAUAACAUUGCGGAAUCGCAUGAUUCUGCAAUUAAAACUCCGGUGGUAUAAGAUGGGGGUGCGUUCCAUUAGUUAGUUGGUAGGGUAACGGCCUACCAAGACGAUGAUGGAUAGCUGGCGUGAGAGCGCGACCAGCCACACUGGAACUGAGACACGGUCCAGACUCCUACGGGAGGCAGCAGU